rnacentral:rRNA from 1 species
GGUACCGUCAAAUGCUAUGGGUAUUCGCCAUCGCACAUUUCUUCCCUAUUGACAGAGCUUUACAACUCGAAAGCCUUCAUCACUCACGCGGCGUCGCUGCAUCAGGGUUUCCCCCAUUGUGCAAAAUUCCUCA